rnacentral:rRNA from 1 species
CCUACGGGGUGCAGCAGUAGGGAAUAUUGCUCAAUGGGGGAAACCCUGAAGCAGCAACGCCGCGUGGAGGAUGAAGGUUUUCGGAUUGUAAACUCCUUUUGUUAGAGAAGAUAAUGACGGUAUCUAACGAAUAAGCACCGGCUAACUCCGUGCCAGCAGCCGCGGUAAUACGGAGGGUGCAAGCGUUACUCGGAACCACUGGGCGUAAAGGGCGCGUAGGCGGGAUAGCAAGUCAGAUGUGAAAUCCUAUGGCUUAACCAUAGAACUGCAUUUGAAACUGUUAUUCUAGAGUAUGGGAGAGGUAGGUGGAAUUCUUGGUGUAGGGGUAAAAUCCGUAGAGAUCAAGAGGAAUACUCAUUGCGAAGGCGACCUGCUAGAACAUAACUGACGCUGAUGCGCGAAAGCGUGGGGAGCAAACAGGAUUAGAUACCCGGGUAGUC